CCUACGGGAGGCAGCAGUGGGGAAUAUUGGGCAAUGGGCGCAAGCCUGACCCAGCAACGCCGCGUGAAGGAAGAAGGCUUUCGGGUUGUAAACUUCUUUUGUCAGGGAAGAGUAGAAGACGGUACCUGACGAAUAAGCCACGGCUCACAACGUGCCAGCAGCCGCGGUAAUACGGGGGAUGCAAGCGUUAUCCGGAUCUAUUGGGUUUAAAGGGUGCGUAGGCUGUGAGGUAAGUCAGCGGGGAAAUGCCGCCGCUCAACGGGGUGAAGUGCCAUUGAUACUGCCUUGCUGGAAUGCGGAUGCGGUGGGAGGAAUGUGUGGUGUAGCGGUGAAAUGCAUAGAUAUCACGCAGAACACCGAUUGCGAAGGCAUCUCACGAGUCCGCGAUUGACGCUGAUGCACGAAAGCGUGGGUAUCAAACAGGAUUAGAUACCCUAGUAGUC
rnacentral:rRNA from 1 species